rnacentral:lncRNA from 1 species
CCUUCCUCUCUUUUUCAUGGUUUUGUGCACCCUCUCCGGCCUUUGGGAUCGCCGGAAAAUUCAUGAACAAGGUGACCCUGUUUUGGGCCAUCUUUCCUCUCUUUUCCGACCACCGGCGCCACCGUUUGUGACGUCUCACCCUAGGAUAGGAUCCUUACCUCUCUACUUGUCGUCCUCGGUAAGCCUUGGCCGCCGGCGACCGACCAAUAGUCGGAAUUCAUGAAGAAAGGGGACGGAUCCCCUGUUUUUCGAAAAAAAAAAAAA